AGCUCCGGGAAACUGGAAUUAAUACCGCAUACGUCCUUAGGGAGAAAGAUUUAUCGGGGAUUGAUGAGCCCGAGUUGGAUUAGCUAGUUGGUGGGGUAAAGGCCUACCAAGGCGACUAUCCAUAGCUGGUCUGGGAGGAUGAUCAGCCACAUUGGGACUGAUACACGGCCCAAACUCCUACGGGAGGAACUAGUGGGGAAUAUAGGAUACUGGGCGCAAGCCUGGUGCAGACAUGCCGCGUGAGUGAUGAAGGCGUAAGGAUUGAAAAGCUCUUUCACCGGAAAAAAUAAUGACGGAAUCCGGAUAACAUGCCCCGGCUAAUUUCGUGCCAGCAGCCGCGGUAAUACGAAGGGGGCUAGCGUUGUUCGGAAUUACUGGGCGUAAAGCGCACGUAGGCGGAUAUUUAAGUCAGGGGUGAAAUCCCCGGGCUCAACCUCGGAACUGCCUUUGAUACUGGGUAUCUAGAGUAUGGAAGAGGUAAGUGGAAUUCCGAGUGUAGCGGUGAAAUUCGUAGAUAUUUGCAGGAACACCAGUGGCGAAGGCGGCUCCCUGGUCCAU
rnacentral:rRNA from 1 species